rnacentral:rRNA from 1 species
AUGCAGUCGAACGAUGAAGGAGGAGCUUGCUCCUCUGGAUUAGUGGCGAACGGGUGAGUAACACGUGAGCAAUGUGCCCUUGACUCUGGAAUAAGCGCUGGAAACGGCGUCUAAUACUGGAUACGACCUUCGGAGGCAUCUCCUGGGGGUGGAAAGAACUUCGGUCAAGGAUCAGCUCACGGCCUAUCAGUUAGUUGGUGAGGUAAUGGCUCACCAAGACGACGACGGGUAGCCGGCCUGAGAGGGUGACCGGCCACACUGGGACUGAGACACGGCCCAGACUCCUACGGGAGGCAGCAGUGGGGAAUAUUGCACAAUGGGCGCAAGCCUGAUGCAGCAACGCCGCGUGAGGGACGAAUGCCUUCGGGUUGUAAACCUCUUUUAGCAGGGAAGAAGCGAGAGUGACGGUACCUGCAGAAAAAGCACCGGCUAACUACGUGCCAGCAGCCGCGGUAAUACGUAGGGUGCAAGCGUUGUCCGGAAUUAUUGGGCGUAAAGAGCUCGUAGGCGGUUUGUCGCGUCUGCUGUGAAAUCCCGAGGCUCAACCUCGGGCUUGCAGUGGGUACGGGCAGACUAGAGUGCGGUAGGGGAGAUUGGAAUUCCUGGUGUAGCGGUGGAAUGCGCAGAUAUCAGGAGGAACACCGAUGGCGAAGGCAGAUCUCUGGGCCGUAACUGACGCUGAGGAGCGAAAGCAUGGGGAGCAAACAGGCUUAGAUACCCUGGUAGUCCAUGCCGUAAACGUUGGGAACUAGAUGUGGGGACCAUUCCACGGUCUCCGUGUCGUAGCUAACGCAUUAAGUUCCCCGCCUGGGGAGUACGGCCGCAAGGCUAAAACUCAAAGGAAUUGACGGGGGCCCGCACAAGCGGCGGAGCAUGCGGAUUAAUUCGAUGCAACGCGAAGAACCUUACCAAGGCUUGACAUAUACGAGAACGCGCUGGAGACAGCGAACUCUUUGGACACUCGUAUACAGGUGGUGCAUGGUUGUCGUCAGCUCGUGUCGUGAGAUGUUGGGUUAAGUCCCGCAACGAGCGCAACCCUCGUCCUAUGUUGCCAGCACGUAAUGGUGGGAACUCAUGGGAUACUGCCGGGGUCACUCGGAGGAAGGUGGGGAUGAGGUCAAAUCAUCAUGCCCCUUAUGUCUUGGGCUUCAGCAUGCUACAUGGCCGGUNCAUGGGCUGCGAUCCGCAGGUGGAGCGAAUCCCAAAAGCCGG